GCACUACUGAGGAGUCCCAUACUAGGACGAAACGGCCUUCUAGUGC
rnacentral:hammerhead_ribozyme from 1 species